rnacentral:misc_RNA from 1 species
CAUUGACUCUCUUCACCUUAUACAUCAUUCCUGCUAUUUGACUAUCUACUGCCAUUGAAGAGGCUUUUAUUUCAACCUCAUCUAGGUACUUCUCUACAUGUCCCAAAAACAAUUUUCUACACUCGUUCUGCAACGAAGAAGCUAGGGCAAUGGCUGUAGGCAUUGUGCUUCCCCUAGUCCAUUCAGGUUGCUCAUCUUUGUCAGCCGACAAGAAGGGAAUCUCAUCAGUGUUCUUAUGUGAUUUGACAAUAUAUGACCCUUUGGGUUUGGUACUUCGAUUUGAUAUGCUUGAUUUCUUCGGUGUAUUGGUGACAGCCAUAGUGUUAUGGAUUGGAUUGAGAGUGGUGGAGCAUGGUGAAAGAUCAAGAGCAACAGCAGAUUUUAUCCACAUAGAUGAG